rnacentral:siRNA from 1 species
UCACUCAUUGUGGACAACUUGCUA